rnacentral:tRNA from 1 species
GCGGGUAUAGCUCAGUAGGUUAGAGCACCAAACUGAUAAUUUGGGGGUCGGUGGUUCAAAUCCACCUAUCCGCA